rnacentral:rRNA from 1 species
GAUGAACGCUAGCGGGAGGCCUAACACAUGCAAGCCGAGCGGUAGAGUUUCUUCGGAAACUUGAGAGCGGCGCACGGGUGCGUAACACGUGUGCAACCUACCUUUAUCUGGGGGAUAGCCUUUCGAAAGGAAGAUUAAUACUCCAUAAUAUAAUGAUUGGCAUCAAUUAUUAUUGAAAACUCCGGUGGAUAGAGAUGGGCACGCGCAAGAUUAGAUAGUUGGUGAGGUAACGGCUCACCAAGUCAAUGAUCUUUAGGGGUCCUGAGAGGGAGAUCCCCCACACUGGUACUGAGACACGGACCAGACUCCUACGGGAGGCAGCAGUGAGGAAUAUUGGACAAUGGGUGAGAGCCUGAUCCAGCCAUCCCGCGUGAAGGAUGACGGUCCUAUGGAUUGUAAACUUCUUUUGUACAGGGAUAAACCUACCCUCGUGAGGGUAGCUGAAGGUACUGUACGAAUAAGCACCGGCUAACUCCGUG